ACCAGCAUGGCACAUUGGUUUGAGUAUUGGACUAUGACUCUAGAGACUAGGGUUCGAUUCCCAGCUUGGCUA